GGGGGCUUAGGAUAAAUAGACCAAGAGCCUUCAAAGCCCUAAGUAGAAGUUGAACUCUUCUAGCCCUCG
rnacentral:tRNA from 1 species